CAUCAUAUGCUGAAAGCGGCGUGAGGAGGAAGGGGUGGCACAUUCCCAAAAAUCAGCCCCUGGGGAACACAUCCGGAAUGGAAUAGGAACUUCCGGCAGCAGUGACGGUGUUCUCCUGUGCGGUUGAAAGGAUAUGAAAAGAUGAUGAAAUCCUCCAAAGAAGAAAGAAGAAUACAACUUCAUCUACCAUUUGCAGGCACUUCACAGUCAGAAUAGCACACUUUGGAGAAGAAAAUGGAAAUGGAGUUAAUAGGAUGAGAAGAUGUCCAUUCCAAGAAGACAUUCUUUUACAAAGAAGAAACAGACCAUGGAUGUGUAAUUGACUAUUACACUGCUCACCACU